GGGUGCUGCAUGGCUGUCGCCAGCUCGUGUCGUGAGAUGUUGGGUUAAGUCCCGUUAACGAGCGCAACCCUUGUCCUUAGUUACCAGCACGUUAUGGUGGGCACUCUAAGGAGACUGCCGGUGACAAACCGGAGGAAGGUGGGGAUGACGUCAAGUCAUCAUGGCCCUUACGGCCUGGCUACACACGUGCUACAAUGGUCGGUACAAAGGGUUGCCAAGCCGCGAGGUGGAGCUAAUCCCAUAAAACCGAUCGUAGUCCGGAUCGCAGUCUGCAACUCGACUGCGUGAAGUCGGAAUCGCUAGUAAUCGUGAAUCAGAAUGUCACGGUGAAUACGUUCCCGGGCCUU
rnacentral:rRNA from 1 species